AAUAGAUACCCUGGUAGUCCAUGCCGUAAACGUUGGGAACUAGAUGUGGGGACCAUUCCACGGUCUCCGUGUCGCAGCUAACGCAUUAAGUUCCCCGCCUGGGGAGUACGGCCGCAAGGCUAAAACUCAAAGGAAUUGACGGGGGCCCGCACAAGCGGCGGAGCAUGCGGAUUAAUUCGAUGCAACGCGAAGAACCUUACCAAGGCUUGACAUAUACGAGAACGCUGCAGAAAUGUAGAACUCUUUGGACACUCGUAUACAGGUGGUGCAUGGUUGUCGUCAGCUCGUGUCGUGAGAUGUUGGGUUAAGUCCCGCAACGAGCGCAACCCUCGUCGUAUGUUGCCAGCACGUAAUGGUGGGAACUCAUAUGAGACUGCCGGGGUCAACUCGGAGGAAGGUGGGGAUGAGGUCAAAUCAUCAUGCCCCUUAUGUCUUGGGCUUCACGCAUGCUACAAUGGCCGGUACAAAGGGCUGCAAUACCGCAAGGUGGAGCGAAUCCCAAAAAGCCGGUCUCAGUUCGGA
rnacentral:rRNA from 1 species